CCUAUUAAAUGAUUAGUAUUAUAAUUCCUAAUUAUGUGGCACCAAAGCAGGUGAGGGGAGAGAGUUGAUCCGUUGUCAUGGGAAUGAGACUGUUUGCUCACCUCAUGUUUCAUGCACCCCUAAACAUGAAAGCAACACAGUGAGCUAGCUAAUGUUGCAAAAAAAAAUCCAUCAGAGCAUAAGAUUGUUUCAUAUUGAAAUAGCCUAUCGGUUGUAUAAUUUUUUGUCGGACUGCUCGGUUUGGUAGUCAUCAAGAAUUGGCAGUCAUCGAUUAUUGGCUACAUGAACCGGUGAGCCAGCAAAAGCUAUUCAGCAAGCAUUAGCAUUAGCUAGCUAGCUACCUAACGUGAGCUAACGAACAUUAACUUUAAUGGUUGCGCGCAUGGUGUGUCAAUGUGUCAAAUACAGUGCUUGCCAUAUUGUAUCCCUGAAAUUACAUGCACGUUUUCAAAUGAGUGAUUGUAAGCCCCAAGAUGAAUCAACGAGGCAUUAUAAUUACGAGUGUUAGCUUGUGUUGCUAGCUGUUAGUCUAAUUGAUGUUGUUUCCAGACUAGAAUGUUAUGGAAAGACCUUGCAAGGUUCCACAGAAGCAGGUAAAACGUGUUUAUUUUGCUAUGUCAAAGACAUGUUGAAGCAAGACUUGUUGGGAACAUAAUUUAAUUUCAGAAGAAAAUGUGUCUGUGAACAAAUAAUGAAAUAAAACUAGCUAGCUAGAUGUUCAUCUAUUUAUUUUGUUUAAACAUGCAUUUGUGAUAUAUUAAGUGCAUAUAUUUUCCAGGUGGCUCCUGUACAUUUUGAGACACACACUCUUCAAGAAACAGUGGAAGCAAACAUAUUAUUGCCACACCCAUAAGGAACCUUCCUACACAAGCAGUAUCACAUCCUGUGAAGGACUCUCCACCUGUGAGAUUGGAAGUGCUCUGUGCAGGAGGUGAGAAUAACAUGAGUGUUGAUUACGCUGGAUCGCCUGUUAUCCUCAGCCAUGACCUGAAGAUGAAGGACAUUAAGAAACCUCAACAGUUGGCUUCAGCUGUAUAACAGUUUCUUAUCUAUGAACCAGAGAAUCCAGAGACCAAACAGUUCAUUCCUCUCAUCCAGGAGAACCUGCAGAGAG